rnacentral:rRNA from 1 species
GACAGAGGGUGCAAACGUUGUUCGGAAUUACUGGGCGUAAAGCGAGUGUAGGCGGUUUGGUAAGUCGGAUGUGAAAGCCCCGGGCUCAACCCGGGAAGUGCACUCGAUACUGCCAAGCUAGAGUGUCGGAGAGGUUGGUGGAAUUCUCGGUGUAGAGGUGAAAUUCGUAGAUAUCGAGAGGAACACCGGUGGCGAAAGCGGCUUCCUGGUCCAGCACCGACGUUCAGGCACGAAAGCGUGGGGAGCAAACAGG